GUCUACGGCCAUGUCACCCUGAACAAGCUCGAUCCUGUCUGAUCUCGGAAGCUAAGCAGGGGCGGACCUGGUUAGUAUUUGGACGGGAGACCACCUAGGAAGACCAGGUGCUGUAGAUG
rnacentral:rRNA from 1 species